rnacentral:lncRNA from 1 species
CCAUAUGUACUCUCAUCUUGCUAUUCUGCCUACAUAAGCUUUAGUUGUUCCCCUUUGUGAAUUUUGCCUUUGUGAAUGAUUUUCUGGUUUUUUUCUACCCUUACAAAGAUAUCCAUAAAGCAGUCUCAGCUCAGAAUUGACUUCCCCUUAGUUUGGAAGACCUAGAAUGGGGUUCCAGUCUCUCCAACAGAAAGACUUUUGUAAGCAUGGACCUCUGACAAAAUCCACUAGGACUGAAGCCAAUUUGGAGGCAGAGAGGCGUCAUUUGAGAUUUUCCUUUUGGAGAGCUGUCCUAUCAUGAGAACACCUUUUUGGAAGAUGAAGUAUUUGAGAUGCCAUAAAAUGAACUAUAGGCUGCUUUUGCUAGGCUUGAGACUUAAGCAACUAACUAUCUGUCAUUGUAUUUCAG